GACGAACGCUGGCGGCGUGCUUAACACAUGCAAGUCGAGCGGUAAGGCCCUUUCGGGGGUACACGAGCGGCGAACGGGUGAGUAACACGUGGGUGACCUGCCCUUAGCUCUGGGAUAAGCCUGGGAAACUGGGUCUAAUACCGGAUAUGACUCCAUGACGCAUGUUGUGGGGUGGAAAGCCUUGUGCGGCUAGGGAUGGGCCCGCGGCCUAUCAGCUUGUUGGUGGGGUGAUGGCCCACCAAGGCGACGACGGGUAGCCGGCCUGAGAGGGCGACCGGCCACACUGGGACUGAGACACGGCCCAGACUCCUACGGGAGGCAGCAGUGGGGAAUCUUGCGCAAUGGGCGAAAGCCUGACGCAGCGACGCCGCGUGAGGGAUGACGGCCUCGGUUGUAA
rnacentral:rRNA from 1 species